rnacentral:rRNA from 1 species
CCUACGGGGUGCAGCAGUAGGGAAUCUUCCACAAUGGACGCAAGUCUGAUGGAGCUACGCCGCGUGAGUGAAGAAGGGUUUCGGCUCGUAAAGCACUUUUGGAAGUGAAGAAAGGUAGGGGUAGUAUAUGGCCUGUAUUUGACGGUAAUUACUUAGUAAGUCACGGCUAACUACGUGCCAGCAGCCGCGGUAAUACGUAGGUUGCAAGCGUUAUCCGGAUUUAUUGGGCGUAAAGCGAGUGCAGGCGGUUUAGUAAGUUGGAUGUGAAAGCCUUCGGCUUAACCGGGGAAUUGCAUAAGAGACUGUUGAACUUGAGUGCGUCAGAGGAGGGUGGAACUCCAUGUGUAGCGGUGGAAUGCGUAGAUAUAUGGAAGAACACCAGUGGCGAAGGCGGCUCUCUGGGAUGCAACUGACGCUGAGGCUCGAAAGCAUGGGGAGCGAACAGGAUUAGAUACCCUUGUAGUC